CUGAUAAUUAUUUGGGGCCAUUUUUCAGCGGUGAACCUACCCAGUCUGUGGGUCCUGUUGACUAUAAUUUCCUGCGACUGCAGAUUUGUUUCGCAUAUUCCGAACAAGCGGUUCUCUAAUCACAAGUACGUCUGAUGUGGAAGGUUGUCUUUCAUACCAUAGAAAACGAGGUUGCACCUCAAAUUUUUUCAAGGUUGUACACUUUGGUCGCCAGGCGUUCCAGUUCUUCCAUAAUAUAGUCAAAACACCAAAAUAGAGACUCCACAACAAGGAAAUGGCACUCCUCCAAAUGUUGACCUUAUGGUCGUUCGCUGUCAUGCAAGCUGCUCAUCAGGAGCCCGCACAGGGCGGAGUAAACACACCAGAUCUCUCCGAGUACCAAAACGCUUGGCCGAUGAUUAGCUCCGAGAAAAUGAUUAACCUCGCCUACAUAUAUCUGGGGGGCACUAUUAACCAAUCAGUAUACUGCGUGCAAUCAGCUUAUUUCAAAUCAGACAGGGCAAAGCAAACAUCUGAAAGAACCCUCGAAUAUCUCAUAAUGGGCGAAAGCGCACCCAAGCUUUGGUCCUUGAAUGUUUCGUUGCGUAUACUUUCCCCCCUUGAGGCUAUAAAGGGGAAAAUUCUUCAAGCGACUCAAAGAA